rfam:Ruminococcus sp. 37_24 Ley3_66761_scaffold_45, whole genome shotgun sequence.
GUUAAAACAAAUCGUAUUCUUAAGACAGUUGGUGGCGAAAGCCAUAAGUCCAGCCGAGGAAUGUGCAUUAAAUAUGAUUUAUUUAUGCCCUUUUCCUCUGGAAAAGGGUUUUUUGCAUUAUUCU